rnacentral:lncRNA from 1 species
UGCGAUUGAGCCAUUGAGUGAUGGGCAGGAAAAACUUGACUGUUUCUCCUGCCAUGGGGGAUGGGGGAUGGGGGGGAUGUGGAUUAUUUUAAGAAUGUGGAUAUUUGGGUCAUCUUUGGCGCCCCCUAGAACGUAAACCGUGGGGUGCAGCGUCAUGAUUUUUACAACUUUGAAUGGCCAUGGGGUGUAGAUUGGCCUGAGCAAAUUUGGUGUCAGUGGGACGAAAUCCUUAGGAGGAGUUAGCCACAUUCCAAUGUGUGCGAAUCGGCAAAAAUGCAAAAUAGCCCUUUAACCGUACAUUUUACAGAUACGCGCGCAUUGACUUUUUCGUAGAUCUUAUUGAGAUACAUGUGAUUGUCAAAUUUUGUGUCAAUAUGACAAAGCGUACAGGUAUGACAGUCAACAAUGUGUUUUUUCACCUUAUGGGACAAGAAAAAAUGGACUUUUUUCUCCUGCCAUGGGGGGGCGCUCUUUGGGGAGUAAAAAUUCCUUCACAAAUGUGUUGAUGGCUGGACAUUGCAUAAUCCUAGAAAACUUGGAGGCCAGUGAGGACAAAAAUAAAAAGUUAUAAGACUUUGAAAUAUGUGGAUUUUUGGGUUAUCUUUGGCGCCCCCUAGAACCUAAACCAUGGGGUGCAGCGUCAUGAUUUGAAUAACUUUUAAUGGCCAUGGGGUGUAGAUUGGCCUGAGCAAAUGUGGUGCCGGUGGAACGAAAGCCUUAGGAGGAGUUAGCCACAUUCCAAUGUGUGCGGAUCGGCAAAAAAUGCGGAAUAACCCUUUAACCGUACAUUUGACAGAUACGCGCGCAUUGACUUUUUUCGUAGAUCUUAUUGAGUUACAUGUGUGUGUCAAUUUUUGUGUCAUUUUGACAAAGCGUAUAGGCGUGACACUCAACAAUGUGUAUUUUCACCUUAGGGGACAAGAAAAAAUGGACUUUUUUCUCCUGCCAUGGGGGGGCGCUCUUUUGGGGAGUAAAAAUUCCUUCACAAAUGUGUUGAUGGCUGGACAUUGCAUCAUCCUAGAAAACUUGGAGGCCAGUGAGGACAAAAAUAAAAAGUUAUAAGACUUUUAAAUAUGUGGAUUUUAGUGUUAUCUUUGGCGCCCGCUAGAACCUAAACCUUGGGGUGCAGCGUCAUGAUUUUGAUAACUUUUAAUGGCCACGGGGUGUAGAUUGGCCUGAGCAAAUGUGGUGCCGGUGGAACGAAAGCCUUCGGAGGAGUUAGCGAAAUUCCAAUGUGUGCGGAUCGGCAAAAAAUGCGAAAUAACCCUUUAACCGUAAUUUUGACAGAUACGGCCGCACUGACUUUUUUGUAGAUCUUAUUGAGAUACAUAUGUGUGUCAAUUUUUGUGUCAAUAUGACAAAGCGUACAGGCGUGACAGUCAAUAGUGUGAAUUUCCACCUUAGGGGGCGCUAUGGAGCCAUUUUGCAUUUUAUUGUUUGGGCGACUUCAGAAUAUCGAAUUUUUCACCAGGCCCGGUCGUCCUGCCAAAUUUCAUGAGUUUUCGCCAGUGGGAAGUGGGCCAUUUUCCAGUUCAAAGGGGAGGAAAAAGAAGAAAGAAAGAAAGAACUAGGGCCCCGUUGGGGCACUGUCGGGCCCGAGCCCUGUCGCACCCGCCCCCAACGCGAUCGCCUCCCUGUCCCAUUCGCGUCCCCUGGCCAUCGCCCUCUCUGGUAACGCCCAUCACUGCAAAGACCCUUUUCCUUCAUCGGCGUUUGCUAUUCUUCCUGCCAGUGCUUGUCGCUUUCACUUACACUUGCCACAGCCAGCCUCGUGAGUGCCUGGCCUGGUUUGACCUUUGCUUACCAUGAUUGUGUGACCUUGGUAUAGGCUACUUGGGAAGUCCCACCGUCGUGGCAAAGCUUUGUUUGCGUGCUGUGCUCCUAUUUUCUAUGGAUGUUUAAGUAAACCACUUUCUUUUCUUACACAAUGACACACUCAUGCUUAUCAUUCACUGUUACUGAUGUGCUCUGUUAGUAAGCAUGCAGGAAACCUGAUGAAUGAAGAAAUGCCCACACUUGCCAACAUCUUAAUAAAUUAUGAGGUAUGACAUCACUUGAAUGGUUUCCUUGGACUAUGCUUCCAUUAUUCUAAUUCUGUAAUAAAAAGAAAUUUUGUCCAAAAAGACUGUUGUUGUUAUUUCUUCUAAUAAGUAACAUAGUUAACAUAAUUAACUUUCAAUAUGCGCUCAUUACACACGUGCACACUCUUUGAUGAUCUAUGGACCAGAGCUUGAAAGACAGGAGGAGCAGCCGAACAAAGUGUAUUUGUAGGAAAGCCGUAAGAGCUAUUGAAAUGCUGUUUUCGCAGGUUGAAAGGUUAGGGUCUCCACCAAAGGUCAGAGGUCAAAUAACAUUUGUAUCUCAAAAUGUGACGUCACAGUCAAGGUCCAAAGAUGGUGUGCGCACCUGUCUUUGGUCAUUUCCCAUUAUAAUGAAUGGGAGGCGCAGUUUCUACCAAAAUGGUCGCUGCAGACAAACUACAUGUCCAAUUUGAAAAAAGUCUGGACCAUGAGUGAGGGCACAAACACAGCUAUGAUGUAUCCAAAUGGCAAGUGGCUCCUCCUUUUGGUUUUAGCGGGAGAGCGAUGCGUUUAAGCCAUUGAGCGAUGGGCAGGAAAAACUUGACUUUUUCUCCUGCCAUGGGGGGGCGCUCUUUUGGGGAGAAAGAAUUCCUUCACAAAUUUGUUGAUGGCUGGAGAUUGCAUCAUCCUAGAAAACUUGGAGGCCAGUGAGGACAAAAAUAAAAAGUUAUGAGACUUUUAAGAAUGUGGAUAUUUGGGUCAUCUUUGGCGCCCCCUAGAACGUAAACCGUGGGGUGCAGCGUCAUGAUGUUUACAACUUUAAAUGGCCAUGGGGUGUAGAUUGGCCUGAGCAAAUUUGGUGCUGGUUAAACGAAAGCUUUAGGAGGAGUUAGCCACAUUCCAAUGUGUGCGAAUCACCAAAAAAUGCGAAAUAGCCCUUUAACCGUACAUUUGACAGAUACGCCCGCAUUGACUUUUUCGUAGAUCUUAUUGAGAUACACGUGUGUGUCAAAUUUUGUGUCAAUAUGACAAAGCGUACAGGUGUCACACUCAACAAUGUGAAUUUUCACCUUAGGCGACAAGAAAAAAUGGACUUUUUUCUCCUGCCAUGGGGGGGCGCUCUUUUGGGGAGUAAAAAUUCCUUCACAAAUGUGUUGAUGGCUGGACAUUGCAUCAUCCUAGAAAACUUGGAGGCCAGUGAGGGCAAAAAUAAAAAGUUAUAAGACUUUUAAAUAUGUGGAUCUUAGGGUUAUCUUUGGCGCCCCCUAGAACCUAAACCGUGGGGUGCAGCGUCAUGAUUUGAAUAACUUUUAAUGGCCAUGGGGUGUAGAUUGGCCUGAGCAAAUGUGGUGCUGGUGGAACGAAAGCCUUCGGAGGAGUUAGCGAAAUUCCAAUGUGUGCGGAUCGGCAAAAAAUGCGAAAUAACCCUUUAACCGUACAUUUGACAGAUACGCCCGCACUGACUUUUUUGUAGAUCUUAUUGAGAUACAUGUGUGUGUCAAUUUUUGUGUCAUUUUGACAAAGCGUACAGGCGUGACAGUCAAUAGUGUGAAUUUUCACCUUAGGGGGCGCUAUGGAGCCAUUUUGCAUUUUCUUGUUUGGGCGACUUCGGAAUAUCAAAUUUUUCACCAGGCCCGGUCGUCCUGCCAAAUUUCAUGAGUUUUCGCCAGUGGGAAGUGGGCCAUUUUCCAGUUCAAAGGGGAGGAAAAAUAACUAGGACCCCGUUGGGGCACUGGCGGGCCCGAGCUGUGUCGCGUCCCCCCCCCCCAACGCGCUGCCUCCCCAUCCCAUUCGCGUCCUCUGGCCGUCGCCCUCUCUGGUAACGCCCAUCACUGCAAAGACCCUUUUCCUUCAUCGGCGUUUGCUGCUCUUCCUGCCAGUGCGUGUUGCUUUCACUUACACUUGCCACAGCCAGCCUCGUGAGUGCCUAGCCUAUUGGAUAUCACUGUCACCUACACAGGACAGUCAUUACCUUUCUAUUAAUACUUUGUUUUUUAAUUUCACAUUAAUUUCCAUAUUGUAUAAACAACUGGAAAAAACUUGAGCCCCUGCCCCUGUAUAAUCAUGUGCACGUCUCUGUUCUAGCUCUAAGGUGAAUCUUCACUGCUCAUGUUCUCCUCAGAAGCAGUCACCUCACUCCCCUCAGGUUACUGUACACAUGCACCAACUGCCUGCUUCAGGUUUGGAUGGAGCUUCAUGGUUGUCUUUUGGAGAAAUGACCAGUCAAGUUGUGUUUGAAAUUUGAUUUUUUUCAGGGGCAAAAGGAGCCUCUGCAUUCUUGUCAAAUAUGUAAAUAGCAUGUUUUUGCAGGUGCUAAAAACCAGACUCUGAGUGUGUGUGUGUGCGUGUGUGUGUGUGUCUGUGUGUGUGUGUGUGUGUGUGUGUGUGUGUGUGCGUUCAAGUCACAUGACAUAUUUAACCGGAUGUAGCUGCAAGACGGAGCCUCGUUGACUCUCCGUUUCAAUUUAUCUCAAAAGUGAGGACCUCAACCUAUAUACCAGUUUUUAAAUUGUGUUGAUAGGCCAAAUAAAACCAGAGUUAUGAUAAAUUAUGUCCGCGAUACUUGUUUUCUGCUUAUUUUGAUCACGUUCGGCGCUCGAUCGCGCUGUAUGAGACAGGAAAACAUAGCAUGCAGACAUUAGCGACAGGUCUUACAGGCGGAAAAGGCUUGCCAAAGGAAAAAAAAACACACCACAACAUCUCUCCUAUUGGUGGAAAACUUCACCACAACAACCAAUCCAAAAUUAUAUGGUGACUGAUUGACAAGGGGCGGGAACUUACGUUCUUCCUGCAAUAUGAGAAGGGAGGGAGGGACUCUCAGCAGGGAUGCAGUCUGGGACACGUAGUUGCAAACCUAGCGACUUUGUUGUUAGAUUCAAUGACUUUUCAGACCCCCUAACGACUUUUUUUAGAAAGAAAGUGACUUUUAUCGACUUCUUCUGGAGUUUAGAGACUCUGACAUGAAGCAGGCUUUCCUUACUGAGGAGUUAGCAACACUGCUAAGGGUGCAGAGCCACACAUGCGCUCCGAGCUCUGCAUGGGAGACUGAAGCUGACAGAGCUGCAGCAGUUAGCAGGUUUCACCCUCAGAGACCACCAGGGGUUCAUGUUGAGGCAUUUUCAGUUUUUUUUUUUUUUUUUGCCAUAGACACUGUCAGCACAAUCUGCAGUUACACUAACAAAAAUGCUGCAAAAAACAAAGAAUUAUGGAAAAAUUACACAUGGACUAACAUAGAGGAGGAUCUACACAAGUUUUUUACAUCAUGUUUUACAUCAUGCAUCAUUUACAUCAUGUUUUUUUGUAGUGGCAUAAAUAAAAAGUGACAUUUGUGAGACUAUACAGUGUUUUGUAAAUAAUUUUACAAAGAACACCUGGGCCAUUGCCUGCAUUUUGAUGUCAAUAGAGGUAAAUUUCUAUGUUCUUUGUUAAAAAUUUGCAUAUGUUUUGAAGUUUACAAUUUUUAUUUGAAGUUUAAGUUUUAAAAACAGUUCAUCACACAUAUUUGUGGUUUUCACAGUAAAAACGUUACUUUUUUCCACUCGGAUUUUAUGUUUUGUGUGUGAAUUUGGGUCCAAUGUGUAAAUAUAGUAUGUCAAAAUGAUAAAAUAACUGUAAAUUGACACAGGUGAGGUUGUGCUGAAAAAAAUGAUACCAGGCAAGGCAAGGUAAAAAUUUUGUAAGAGGAAAUAUAAAGGUAAAAUCUAAAGUAGUCAAAAACGGCCAAUAGUGACUCACAGACUCCACAGACAAGUCCCUUUGGCGCCACUCAGUGGGCAAAACUACUUUGUCUACUGUAAUGUAUAUUUGGGUCAUCUUUGGCGCCCCCUAAAACGUAAACCGUGGGGUGCAGCGUCAUGAUUUUUACAACUUUGAAUGGCCAUGGAGUGUAGAUUGGCCUGAGCAAAUUUGGUGUCAGUGGGACGAAGGCCUUAGGAGGAGUUAGCGAAAUUCCAAUGUGUGCGAAUUGGCAAAAAAUGCAAAAUAGCCCUUUUACCAUACAUUAUACAGAUACG